ACCAGGCACGGUGGCACGUAUCUGUAGGCCCAGAUACUCAGGAGGCUAAUCUGGGAGGCUAAGGCGGGAGGAUCUUUUGAGCCCAAGAAUUCCGAGCUGUAGUACACUAUGCCAAUCAAGUGCACUCUAUGUUCAGCAUCAAGGUGGUGACAUCCCGGGAACAGGGCACCACCAGGUUGCCUAAGGAGGGUCACUGGCCCAGGUUGGAAACAGAGCAGAUCAAAACUCCCUUACUGAUCACUAGUGGGAUCACCUCUGUGAAUAGCCACUGGGCAGCACAAGGAGACCCCAUCUCU
rnacentral:SRP_RNA from 1 species